rnacentral:rRNA from 1 species
CAGUAGCCGCGGUAAUACGAAGGGUGCAAGCGUUAAUCGGAAUUACUGGGCGUAAAGCGCGCGUAGGUGGUUUGGUAAGAUGGAUGUGAAAUCCCCGGGCUCAACCUGGGAACUGCAUCCAUAACUGCCUGACUAGAGUACGGUAGAGGGUGGUGGAAUUUCCUGUGUAGCGGUGAAAUGCGUAGAUAUAGGAAGGAACACCAGUGGCGAAGGCGACCACCUGGACUGAUACUGACACUGAGUUGCGAAAGCGUGGGGAGCAAACAGGAUUAGAUACCCCGGUAGUCCUUGUCUCUUAUAC